rnacentral:rRNA from 1 species
CCUACGGGGCGCAGCAGUGGGGAAUAUUGCACAAUGGGCGCAAGCCUGAUGCAGCCAUGCCGCGUGUGUGAAGAAGGCCUUCGGGUUGUAAAGCACUUUCAGCGGGGAGGAAGGCGUUAAGGUUAAUAACCUUGGCGAUUGACGUUACCCGCAGAAGAAGCACCGGCUAACUCCGUGCCAGCAGCCGCGGUAAUACGGAGGGUGCAAGCGUUAAUCGGAAUUACUGGGCGUAAAGCGCACGCAGGCGGUCUGUCAAGUCGGAUGUGAAAUCCCCGGGCUCAACCUGGGAACUGCAUUCGAAACUGGCAGGUGAGAGUCUUGUAGAGGGGGGUAGAAUGCCAGGUGUAGCGGUGAAAUGCGUAGAGAUCUGGAGGAAUACCGGUGGCGAAGGCGGCCCCCUGGACAAAGACUGACGCGCAGGUGCGAAAGCGUGGGGAGCAAACAGGAUUAGAUAGCCCGGUAGUC